rnacentral:rRNA from 1 species
AACGAACGCUGGCGGCGCGCCUAAUACAUGCAAGUCGAGCGAGAAGACGUAGCAAUACGUUUGUAAAGCGGCGAACGGGUGAGGAAUACAUGGGUAACCUACCCUCGAGUGGGGAAUAACUAGCCGAAAGGUUAGCUAAUACCGCGUACGCUCCUUGGACUUCGGUUCAGGGAGGAAAGCGAUACCGUGGGUAUCGCGCUCUUGGAUGGGCUCAUGUCCUAUCAGCUUGNGGUGAGGUAACGGCUCACCAAGGCUUCGACGGGUAGCUGGUCUGAGAGGACGAUCAGCCACACUGGCACUGCGACACGGGCCAGACUCCUACGGGAGGCAGCAGUAAGGAUAUUGCGCAAUGGGCGAAAGCCUGACGCAGCGACGCCGCGUGGGGGA